UGCCUAGUGCACCUACGCAGUAUAAACAAUAAUAAACUUUACUGUCGUUGACAAGAAACGAGUAACUCGUCCCUCUUCUGCAGACUGCUUACGGUUUCGUCCGUGCUGCAGUCGAUCAUCAGCAUACCUAGGUUUCGUCCGGGUGUGACCGAAAGGUAAGAUGGAGAGCCUUGUUCUUGGAAUCAACGAGAAAA
rfam:Bat coronavirus Cp/Yunnan2011, complete genome.